GGUUAAGCGACUAAGCGUACACGGUGGAUGCCCUGGCAGUCAGAGGCGAUGAAGGACGUGCUAAUCUGCGAAAAGCGUCGGUAAGGUGAUAUGAACCGUUAUAACCGGCGAUGUCCGAAUGGGGAAACCCAGUGUGAUUCGUCACACUAUCGUUAACUGAAUACAUAGGUUAACGAGGCGAACCGGGGGAACUGAAACAUCUAAGUACCCCGAGGAAAAGAAAUCAACCGAGAUUCCCCCAGUAGCGGCGAGCGAACGGGGAGCAGCCCAGAGUCUGAAUCAGCUUGUGUGUUAGUGGAACGGUCUGGAAAGUCCGACGGUACAGGGUGAUAGUCCCGUACACCAAAAUGCACAGGCUGUGAACUCGAAGAGUAGGGCGGGACACGUGGUAUCCUGUCUGAAUAUGGGGGGACCAUCCUCCAAGGCUAAAUACUCCUGACUGACCGAUAGUGAACCAGUACCGUGAGGGAAAGGCGAAAAGAACCCCGGCGAGGGGAGUGAAAAAGAACCUGAAACCGUGUACGUACAAGCAGUGGGAGCACCUUCGGGUGUGACUGCGUACCUUUUGUAUAAUGGGUCAGCGACUUAUAUUCUGUAGCAAGGUUAACCGUAUAGGGGAGCCGCAGGGAAACCGAGUCUUAACUGGGCGUUAAGUUGCAGGGUAUAGACCCGAAACCCGGUGAUCUAGCCAUGGGCAGGUUGAAGGUUGGGUAACACUAACUGGAGGACCGAACCGACUAAUGUUGAAAAAUUAGCGGAUGACUUGUGGCUGGGGGUGAAAGGCCAAUCAAACCGGGAGAUAGCUGGUUCUCCCCGAAAGCUAUUUAGGUAGCGCCUCGUGAACUCAUCUUCGGGGGUAGAGCACUGUUUCGGCUAGGGGGUCAUCCCGACUUACCAACCCGAUGCAAACUACGAAUACCGAAGAAUGUUAUCACGGGAGACACACGGCGGGUGCUAACGUCCGUCGUGAAGAGGGAAACAACCCAGACCGCCAGCUAAGGUCCCAAAGUCAUGGUUAAGUGGGAAACGAUGUGGGAAGGCACAGACAGCCAGGAUGUUGGCUUAGAAGCAGCCAUCAUUUAAAGAAAGCGUAAUAGCUCACUGGUCGAGUCGGCCUGCGCGGAAGAUGUAACGGGGCUAAACCAUGCACCGAAGCUGCGGCAGCGACACUAUGUGUUGUUGGGUAGGGGAGCGUUCUGUAAGCCUGCGAAGGUGUGCUGUGAGGCAUGCUGGAGGUAUCAGAAGUGCGAAUGCUGACAUAAGUAACGAUAAAGCGGGUGAAAAGCCCGCUCGCCGGAAGACCAAGGGUUCCUGUCCAACGUUAAUCGGGGCAGGGUGAGUCGACCCCUAAGGCGAGGCCGAAAGGCGUAGUCGAUGGGAAACAGGUUAAUAUUCCUGUACUUGGUGUUACUGCGAAGGGGGGACGGAGAAGGCUAUGUUAGCCGGGCGACGGUUGUCCCGGUUUAAGCAUGUAGGCUGGUU
rnacentral:rRNA from 1 species